ensembl:lncRNA
AAAUGACUUGAGUUCCUGUAUGUUACCACAAUCACAUGAAACAUACACCUUCACCUCUCUUUUUCCCAGUGAGUUCUUUAUUCCUGUCUGUGCCAUGUACUGAGAACCCAGCUGGCUGUAUGAACGGCGACAGUAUAUCCAGAGACAGUAUGUUGCAGUCCCUGAUGUUGCAGUCCAUGAUUGGAAGGAGAUACUCGCCCUGAGUUUGUCUACUUUAUUGUCCAGGGACAAUAAAUAUAUUGUCUAGCGAGCAAUAUACACGGAAGCGGUGGAUGGUAAGCACGCCUCCUGAGUUGGACUAAAAGUCCAUUCCUAAUACCUACGCCGGGUGGUGUCUUGAAGCAAGCUAUGGGCUGGUGUCUCCACAUGGAAUAGGAGGAAGGAAUGAGGAGAACACACAACAGACACAAAUAACCCUGCCUCUGCCAUCCACCUGCCGCCUCUAGAACACAUCUCCACCUCCCUGAUACCAGAUACUUCCUGCUCAGAAAUGCCAUGCAACUGAAAGGGCCUUUUUAUUUUUCACUGGGAAACAGGAUGAAGAGUCAAGAACAACAUUCCAGACCAGAAAACAAGUGGCUUUAAGAUGACAGGCCAUCGGGUUAACGGGUGUCGGGCGAAAGAAAACAGUGAUUUAUUGUUUUCUCCAGACAACUGUUCAGCUCGGUUGAAUAGGCUUCAUGAUCAACUGUGCCAAUGUGAAAACUGUGAGGCCGCUGGAGUCUGAGGAAGUCUCCAGAUGGUUUAGCACUUGUCAGAGCGACCCUGUGACCCCAGAUGCUGUCCAGAUACGGGUCAGUGACGGGGUGCAGGCCUCUGUCCGACUGAUUUACGGCCCAUCGUUAAAACCCUCAUUGGAAAGGAGAGGGCCGAACUCUAUACCCCACCUUGCAGAAUGAGCCGAAUGGGCAUGAAAUCACAGAAAGAUUGAAUUCUGGAGUUUAAGAUUUUAUUUUCGGAGUUCCGAAAUUCAGUCUUUUCUUCUGAGGUUGUGCUUGGUCUGUUUUUUAUGAUGUCACCAGUGGUAAACUCAACACAUUAUCCCGAGACAAGUAAUGUCCCGAGGGAUUCUAACUCAAUGUUGAAGGGCAGAGUUUCCAAAAGCUUCCAAAGAGAACAAGAAAACAUUGAUAUGAGUGUGAACAGCAAUUGCCAUGUACUAGCACAGCUCCUGGAAACAACUCAGUACAAACCAUUGACUAGUGGAGAUGGGAUUGACUUUAUGCAGACAUAAAACAUGUGUCACCUUUAUCCUGCAAAGUAUAACCAAAGCAGACUAUAUCCAGUUAUUGUUUAUCCAUCCAGACAUACUGCCGACUCUCCCAAUGAAAACACUCCACUGUGCAGUAAACUGACUAAAUCAAUUGGACUACAUAGCAGAAGUGACCAUUCCGUCUGUCAAGUGAACAAGUGCUGCUGUGUAGAUGCAUAAGGUGCAGUUUCAAGUCGAGUCAGACUCGUUUAAAGACAUGUAACAUAGUUCUGUUUUUCUUUCCUAAUUAACCACCGUGGUUUCAAAAGUCCCCGAGCGGCGAAUAACUGGGCUAAUAGAAAUAAAGUGUGUUUAAUGGCCAA